AUAAAGAAAUCUUUAUACACCAAACACAUUAGAGAAAAAAGCAAGGCAGAGCGUCUGUCAGUCACUAUAAAGAAGGCGGGGCCUCUGUGUCCGUCAGUCACUAUAAAGAAGGCGGGGCCUCUGUGUCCGUCAGUCACUAUAAAGAAGGCGGGGCCUCAGUCAGACAAAAUAAGGCUGUUUUUCAGAGCCCAGUACAUUUACACCAACAGAUUUUACAGGAAAUGUAACACCGUAAAAGACAAGACCCCUGGACGGACAGACAGACUCAGAAGAUGGCGAGAAACCAGUGAGGUGCGAGGAGACGAUUCAGACCAAAGGAAAGACUGUACAGAUUCAGGGUAAAGAUGACUGGGUGGAGUUGAGGAACACGGAAGUGGAACGGCAGUGCAGAGGUUACACACAGAGCUCUCUCUCUCUCUCUCUCUCUCUCUCUCAAAAAGAAAAACUACAUUAAACAUACGCUUCCUUUUACAGAUCUCCAUUCAGGGUAUUAAAUCUAGAACAUAGAGUAUCAAAUAUAACAAAAUGUAGAAUUCAGAGUGUCAGUAUGGCAGAGUAUAGAAUUGAGAAUAGAAUUUAAUGGAGUAUAGAAUUCAGAGUAUUAAAUAUUGAACAUAAGUAUACAUUUUGAGCAUAAAAUUUAAAGCAUUAAAUAUAGAACAGAGCACAGAAUUAAAAGUAUUGAAUACAGAACAUAAAUCAUCCAAUAUACAACACAGAAUAUAGAGAUUAGAGCAUUAAAUAUAGAACAGAAUAUAGAUUUUAGAGUAACCAAAAGUAGAAUAUUUAGAGCAUAGAAUUGAGUAUAGAAUUUCGAGUAUUAAAUAUAAAAGAGUACAGAAUUGAAAGUAUAAAAUAAAGCACAUACAGUAUAGAAUUUCGAGUAUUAGAUAAUAAACAAAGCGUAAACACUUUAAAGCAUUUAAUAUAGAACAUAGUAAAGAAUUUAGAUUAUAAUAAAACAGUAUAGAAUUC